GUUGGCUUGGAAGCAGCCAUUCAUUCAAAGAGUGCGUAACAGCUCACUGGUCGAGCGGGCCUGCGUGGAUAAUAAUCGGGCAUAAGCCCGGUACCGAAGCCGUGGUGCGGCGCUGAAUGGCGCCGCAGGUAGGGGAGCAUUCCGGUCAGCUGCGAAGCCGUCCCGCGAGAGGCGGUGGAGCGUCCGGAAAAGCAAAUGUAGGCAUGAGUAACGACAAUGGGGGCGGGAAACCCCCACGCCGGAAGGCCAAGGAUUCCUGAUCAACGCUAAUCGGAUCAGGGUCAGUCGGGACCUAAGGGGGAGCCGCGAGGCGUACCCGAUGGAAGAAACGGUCAACAUUCCGUUACUGCGGCGCGGAGCGACGCGGGGACGGGGCAGUGACACGGCUGCGGGCUGACGGAAUAGCCCGUUGAAGGGUGUAGGUAAACGCCGGGCAGGCAAAUCCGUCCGGAGUGCCGAACCUGACAGUACCGCGAGCCUCCGGGCGAGCGGAGAACGCCGGUAACCACGCCUCCAAGAAAAACCGCUAAGCGUAUGCGCGCCGUACCCGUACCGAAACGGACACACGUGGCCGGGUAGAGGAUACCGAGGCGCUCGGGAUAUCCACCGUUAAGGAACUAGGCAAACUGACCCCGUAACUUCGGGAGAAGGGGUCCCCGCUUAAUGCGGGGCGCAGCGAAACGGUCCAGGCAACUGUUUAACAAAAACACAGGGCUGUGCGAAAUUUAAAGAUGAGGCAUACAGCCUGACACCUGCCCGGUGCCGGAAGGUUAAGAGGAGGGGUCACCGCAAGGGAAGCCCCGAAUUGAAGCCCCGGUAAACGGCGGCCGUAACUAUAACGGUCCUAAGGUAGCGAAAUUCCUUGUCGGGUAAGUUCCGACCUGCACGAAUGGUGUAAUGAUCUGGACGCUGUCUCAACGGUGGGCCCGGUGAAAUUGUAGUAUCGGUGAAGAUGCCGAUUACCCGCAACGGGACGGAAAGACCCCGUGAACCUUUACUGCAGCUUAGCAUUGUGACCGGGCCUGUGAUGUGUAGGAUAGUCCGGAGGCUAUGAUGCGGCGGCGCCAGCCGUCGCGGAGCCGACGUUGAAAUACGGGCCUUUGCAUGUCUGGUCACUAACGCGUUAUGAACGCGGACAGUGCUUGGCGGGUAGUUUGACUGGGGUGGUCGCCUCCAAAAGCGUAACGGAGGCUUCCAAAGGUCCCCUCGGGCCGAUUGGUAACCGGCCUGUGAGUGUAAUGGCAAAAGGGGGCUUGACUGGGAGGCCGACAAGCCGAACAGGCAGGAAACUGGGGCAUAGUGAUCCGGCGGUGCGGAAUGGAACGGCCGUCGCUCAAAGGAUAAAAGGUACUCCGGGGAUAACAGGCUGAUCCCUCCCAAGAGCUCAUAUCGACGGAGUGGUUUGGCACCUCGAUGUCGGCUCGUCACAUCCUGGGGCUGGAGAAGGUCCCAAGGGUUCGGCUGUUCGCCGAUUAAAGUGGCACGCGAGCUGGGUUCAGAACGUCGUGAGACAGUUCGGUCCCUAUCUGUUGUGGGCGUUGGAGAUUUGCGGGGAGCCGGCACUAGUACGAGAGGACCGUGCCGGACAGACCUCCGGUGAGCCGGUUGUACCGCCAGGUGCACGGCCGGGUAGCCGCGUCUGGUAAGGAUAAGCGCUGAAAGCAUCUAAGCGCGAAGCCCGCCCCAAGAUUAGAUCUCCGUGAGGGCCGUCGGAGACGACGACGUCGAUAGGCCGCAGGUGCAAAGUCAGCGAUGGCAAAGCCGAGCGGUACUAAUAGCCCGAUAGCUUUCCGGG
rnacentral:rRNA from 1 species